rnacentral:misc_RNA from 1 species
UUAGGGCUUGGGGUCGCGGUUGC